CCCACUACUUGUCCUCCAGGGAUUGGUGGAGAACGAAUCACCUCACCAUCAUGGUACCGCCCCCUCAUUAGCAUAUUACCGGCCAACUGACACCAGGUGCAAAACCCGCGCAUGCGCAGUACUAUUGUUCACCACAGGAGGGCGCCGGAUCAUACAGCUGCCCUGACAAGGGGAACAAGCCUGCACAUGCGCACUUCCUAUUCCUGCCCCCAUGUUGCGCCUUCCUGCCCUGAAGGAUUCCAAGCACCCCUCCAGCCAUAAGUUAAUCAGUUUAUUGAGCACCUACUAUAGCAAGCACUGUUAUCUAAAGGCUCCUUCAAGAACCUGGCAGCACUGAGAAGACCGUUCAUCAUCCUGAAGCAUCAAGGCAGCACCUACUUGGCACUAGAAGCACCCGGUCUUUGGAAAGGAGCACGUGAGCAAGAGGCCUCGGAACCACAGCGGAAUGGCACCGCAUGGUACUAAGAGGUCAUGCUGAUACUGGCAUUUCACGGGAAAUUAUGCUAUCUUCCUGUUUCUGACAAUCAGAAAGAUCACUGGAGAGGCAGCACAUUUUCUGUCUGUUUUCACUGGAGAAGUGAAAACAAUAGCAAGCGCAUAUUUUGAAGUGAAGCUGUAUUUCACAGACAAAUUGAAGGGAAAAGUGGUUAUGGAAACUUUUCACUCUUUUUGCCUUCCUUGAUUUCUUAUAAUUCAUAAAUAAAAAGAAAGAAAAUUCUAUCCUACCUCUCGAAACAAA